rnacentral:rRNA from 1 species
UACGGAGGGUGCAAGCGUUAUCCGGAUUCACUGGGUUUAAAUGGUGCGUAGGUGGGAAUGUAAGUCAGUGGUGAAAUCUCCGUGCUUAACAUGGAAACUGCCAUUGAUACUAUGUUUCUUGAAUUUUCUGGAGGUAAGCGGAAUAUGUCAUGUAGCGGUGAAAUGCUUAGAUAUGACAUAGAACACCAAUUGCGAAGGCAGCUUGCUACAGGGAUAUUGUCACUGAGGCACGAAAGAGUGGGGAUCAAACAGG